rnacentral:rRNA from 1 species
UGGGGAAUAUUGCACAAUGGGCGCAAGCCUGAUGCAGCCAUGCCGCGUGUAUGAAGAAGGCCUUCGGGUUGUAAAGUACUUUCAGCGGGGAGGAAGGGAGUAAAGUUAAUACCUUUGCUCAUUGACGUUACCCGCAGAAGAAGCACCGGCUAACUCCGUGCCAGCAGCCGCGGUAAUACGGAGGGUGCAAGCGUUAAUCGGAAUUACUGGGCGUAAAGCGCACGCAGGCGGUUGAUUGAGUCAGAUGUGAAAUCCCCGGGCUUAACCCGGGAAUUGCAUCUGAUACUGGCAAGCUUGAGUCUCGUAGAGGGGGGUAGAAUUCCAGGUGUAGCGGUGAAAUGCGUAGAGAUCUGGAGGAAUACCGGUGGCGAAGGCGGCCCCCUGGACGAAGACUGACGCUCAGGUGCGAAAGCGUGGGGAGCAAACAGG